rnacentral:rRNA from 1 species
AUUGAACGCUGGCGGCAUGCCUUACACAUGCAAGUCGAACGGCAGCACGGGAGCAAUCCUGGUGGCGAGUAGCGAACGGGUGAGUAAUAUAUCGGAACGUGCCCAGUCGUGGGGAUAACGUAGCGAAAGCUACGCUAAUACCGCAUACGAUCUAUGGAUGAAAGCGGGGGAUCGCAAGACCUCGCGCGAUUGGAGCGGCCGAUAUCAGAUUAGGUAGUUGGUGAGGUAAAGGCUCACCAAGCCGACGAUCUGUAGCUGGUCUGAGAGGACGACCAGCCACACUGGGACUGAGACACGGCCCAGACUCCUACGGGAGGCAGCAGUGGGGAAUUUUGGACAAUGGGCGCAAGCCUGAUCCAGCAAUGCCGCGUGCAGGAUGAAGGCCUUCGGGUUG